AAUUUAAAAUAAGUAUGUCCCAUGCAAUAUUUAGGAAAUAAUUAUUCUAAAA
rnacentral:pre_miRNA from 1 species